ACACGGAGGGCGCAAGCGUUGCUCGGAAUCACUGGGCGUAAAGCGGGUGUAGGCGGUCUAGCAAGUCAGAUGUGAAAGCCCACGGCUCAACCGUGGAAGUGCAUCUGAAACUGCUAGACUUGAGUGCCGGAGAGGGAAGUGGAAUUCCUGGUGUAGGGGUGAAAUCCGUAGAUAUCAGGAGGAACACCGGUGGCGAAGGCGACUUCCUGGACGGCCACUGACGCUGAGACCCGAAAGCGUGGGGAGCAAACAGGAGUAGAUACCCUAGUAGUCC
rnacentral:rRNA from 1 species